GCCGGGGUGGCAGAGAGGUAAUGCGCGGGCCUUGAGAGCCCGUUGUCCUUUAUGGACAGCAAGGGUUCAAAUCCCUUCCCCGGCG
rnacentral:tRNA from 1 species